rnacentral:miRNA from 1 species
GUGUGUGUGCAUGUGCAUGUAUCUUAGGAAGACACACACACACACACACACACACACACACACACACACACACCC